rnacentral:rRNA from 1 species
GACAGAGGUGGCGAGCGGUGUUCGGAAUCACUGGGCUUAAAGGGCGAGUAGGCGGUAGGGCAAGUCUGAGGUGGAAUCCUAUGGCUCAACCAUAGAACUGGCUUGGAAACUGUUCUACUUGAGUCAGUGAGGGGAGGGCGGAAUUCCCGGUGUAGCGGUGAAAUGCGUAGAUAUCGGGAGGAAGGCCGGUGGCGAAGGCGGCCCUCUGGCGCUGUACUGACGCUGAGGCGCUAAAGCGUGGGGAGCAAACAGG